rnacentral:rRNA from 1 species
GAUGAACGCUAGCUACAGGCUUAACACAUGCAAGUCGAGGGGCAGCGGGAUUGAAGCUUGCUUCAAUUGCCGGCGACCGGCGCACGGGUGAGUAACGCGUAUCCAACCUUCCGUACACUCAGGGAUAGCCUUUCGAAAGAAAGAUUAAUACCUGAUGGUAUGAUGAGAUUGCAUGAUAGCAUCAUUAAAGAUUUAUCGGUGUACGAUGGGGAUGCGUUCCAUUAGGUAGUAGGCGGGGUAACGGCCCACCUAGCCUACGAUGGAUAGGGGUUCUGAGAGGAAGGUCCCCCCACAUUGGAACUGAGACACGGUCCAAAACUCCUACGGGAGGCAGCAGUGAGGAAUAUUGGUCAAUGGGCGAGAGCCUGAACCAGCCAAGUAGCGUGCAGGAUGACGGCCCUAUGGGUUGUAAACUGCUUUUAUAAGGGAUAAAGUGGGAGUCGUGACUCUUUUUGCAUGUACCUUAUGAAUAAGGACCGGCUAAUUCCGUGCCAG